GUUAAUUGGGCCUUGCCCACAGUUUCGUUUGUUUGGAGGGACACUGCCCAAGAUGGCUGCCCUGUGGAGAGAGAGGGAGAUGAAGCAUGAAAAAAUAAAGUAGCAGCUGUAAAAAAUAAAGUAGCAUGGAAGUUUGAACAUUUUUUUUUAUUUUCAUAUUGGACUGGCCAUUUCGGAUUUAUGUUUGGACCUUUCCCUAAAUGGAGUACUCUACGUUUCCAGAUGAAUUAUCAGACUAUCGUGUUUAAUGGACUGAAGUUUCAUCCUGGACAUUGGCUCGGGCCUGCUGCUCAAGGUUGUCCGGAGCACCUGCCUGACAGAAAUACAAUGCUGGGCGACUUAUGAUAAAGUUUGUUUCUCGGUGGGAAGGCGACCUGGUCUGGCUGGAAGGCGUGUUAGGGGCACUUGACAGGAGAUGUUCUAGGAUUCGAAGGCCGGAAAAAAUUGCAGACGAGGACACUGUUCAAUGACAGCGGGACACAGCGGAAACACAUCAAAGCAAACGGAUGGAGACACUGACAUUCACAGCGUGACGAGAACCAGCGAAAGUGCCGCGCAUUUUCGUUCAAAUUGCAAGAAAUCCAAGCUUCAAUGUGGAAUCGACAACCAUGGUGUGUCUCUGAUUUGGGAGGAUGGAGGCGCCAACAGAGGCUAUUUUACUGCUGUUCUUGCAAGAGGCCUGUAAAAAGUGCAGGGUUUUGUCAUUUGUCUGCACUACUACAACACACAACUUUUACGAGCUGGGAAAGACAGGCGCCGGCCUGUGUAUCGCCUCUGGAGGAGAGGGAGAGACGACAAGCCAACACCAGGACAAGACGUUCUGAUUGGUGACUGAAGACAGAGGGUCUGAGUGGUGACUGAAGACAGAGGGUCAGUGCGGCCAGCUGCCAGACUAGAAGCUCCACAGCACUUGGAUCAGGACGACGGUCUACGGUCCAACAUGCUGCCACGAGGGGGGUGAUUCCAAUGGGGAAGCGGUGUGGCCCACCACGCCAGACGGUACCAUCAAGGCUACUCCUGAUGGCGGGGACACAGUGGGAGGAACAUGGGGGGGGGGGGGGGGGUACCUCCUCACAGCCGGCGAGGAGAACCCACGCCAUCUCUGUGGUGACGCGUCCUCCACGUUGUGCGAGAAACGGCCUGAAGAGGGCUCGGACAUGGGCAGUUGGAGAAAGGGUGGAGGAGGAGUUUUUCCCCGAGACGAGGCUGUCUUGACGCCACUCAUUUUUGUCGGAGGUGUCGGCGAUGACCUGGACCCAUCUGGCCGAUCAGAUGCUCGAGUUCGACCGUGCUGAAGUCCAGCGUUGAGGAACCCGCGAUGCUUCGGUUCACUCCCUGCUGCGUCAGCCCCACCCAGGAUUCAACGUUCCCGAAGCUCCGUCACACCAACAGGGAGCGGGAUUGUCGAACUCUUUUGAGAUUGCCGAUUACUUUGUUUGAAUAUUUUGCCCUUUGUAUUCUGUUUUAAUUGUUUGACUUUUUAUGCAGUUUCAGUUGUAUAAAUUGAAUUUGUAAAAGUCUGUAUGAUCAAUAAAAAGAAUUGCCAAAGAAAUAUGAGCCUUGUGUGAGUCCCUGUCUGGCCCUUUAUUUGUUUUUAUAGUUUUCAUUUUAAAGUGCAGUUCAAUAACGACAAAGUUGACAAAUCGAUAGCGCUAAUAAGGACGACUGCAAAAUCAACCCAGCUGUCAGCUGGAACACAAACACCUAAACACACACAAUACGCACACCGGGCUGCUGCCUUGCUGAAGAG
ensembl:lncRNA